rnacentral:rRNA from 1 species
GAUCCUGACUCAGGAUGAACGCUAGCUACAGGCUUAACACAUGCAAGUCGAGGGGCAGCAUGGUCUUAGCUUGCUAAGGCCGAUGGCGACCGGCGCACGGGUGAGUAACACGUAUCCAACCUGCCGUCUACUCUUGGACAGCCUUCUGGAAGGAAGAUUAAUACAAGAUGGCAUCAUGAGUCCACAUGUUCACAUGAUUAAAGGUAUUCCGGUAGACGAUGGGGA